UCAAAGGCUCUUUUAAGAGCCACCCAUAUUUUCAUCUAAAGAGCUU
rfam:Danio rerio chromosome 7, GRCz11 reference primary assembly.